rnacentral:rRNA from 1 species
GUGGGGAAUAUUGGACAAUGGGGGGAACCCUGAUCCAGCCAUGCCGCGUGUGUGAAGAAGGCCUUUUGGUUGUAAAGCACUUUAAGCGAGGAGGAGGCUACCGAGAUUAAUACUCUUGGAUAGUGGACGUUACUCGCAGAAUAAGCACCGGCUAACUCUGUGCCAGCAGCCGCGGUAAUACAGAGGGUGCAAGCGUUAAUCGGAUUUACUGGGCGUAAAGCGCGCGUAGGUGGCCAAUUAAGUCAAAUGUGAAAUCCCCGAGCUUAACUUGGGAAUUGCAUUCGAUACUGGUUGGCUAGAGUAUGGGAGAGGAUGGUAGAAUUCCAGGUGUAGCGGUGAAAUGCGUAGAGAUCUGGAGGAAUACCGAUGGCGAAGGCAGCCAUCUGGCCUAAUACUGACGCUGAGGUACGAAAGCAUGGGGAGCAAACAGGAUUAGAAACCCGGGUAGUCC